CCAAUAGCGUAUAUUAAAGUUGUUGCAGUUAAAAAGCUCGUAGUUGAACUUCGGGGUCUACCCAUUGGUCAGGCUUAAUUGUCUGCACUGGUGAGAUGGAUCUCUACCUUCUGAGGAACUUUCAUGCCAUUUAUUUGGUGUGAUGGGAAAUCAGGACUGUUACUUUGAAAAAAUUAGAGUGUUUAAAGCAGACUAUCGUCUGAAUACAUUAGCAUGGAAUAAUGAAAUAGGACGGACUGAUUCUAUUUCGUUGGUUUCUAGGAUCACCGUAAUGAUUAAUAGGGAUAGUUGGGGGCAUUAGUAUUCAAUUGUCAGGGGUGAAAUUCUUGGAUUUAUUGAAGACUAACUACUGCGAAAGCAUUUGCCAAGGAUGUUUUCAUUAAUCAAGAACGAAAGUUAGGGGAUCGAAGACGAUCAGAUACCGUCGUAGUCUUAACCAUAAACUAUGCCGACUAGGGAUCGGACGAAGUUAAUUUUAUAAUGACGCGUUCGGCACCUUACG
rnacentral:rRNA from 1 species